CGAACCCGCGCGGGAGAGUCCGGAGUGCCCUCGGGGUACAGCCGGCGCCGAAGGAGCAAGUCCUCCCCGGAAUCUCUCAGGCACCCCUACCGCACGGGCGAG
rfam:Streptomyces sp. CB03911 scaffold3, whole genome shotgun sequence.